GUUUUGAUGAACAGUUUGUGGCAAAAAUGGCUUGGGGUGAUUUCCAGAGGCCCUGAAAUUUCUGCUUUCUUUGGAAUGCUUCAGACAUCUCAGGAUGAAGCCUGCACCAGCCCACUGGAGGCCACUUGAAGAGGCAGCUAGUCCCAAGCAGGAGGAGCUGACCCCAACCCACUAUGGUAUGUCUGGACCCAGGCAGCUUUGGAAGGAAACUAAGGUGCCACUAAGUCACAGGGUGAGUGUUACCUCCCCCAGCCUCAUUCUCCAUCCAUGUGGAUAUGGGCAGAGUACACACAGUGGCUGGCUUGCGUGGAAGAAAACCAUGCACGGCCUUCCUCUCCAUCGAGCACACACACACAUGCACACACACUCCCCAACUUUGUCGUCAAGCAAGGGGAAUAAAAGUUGUCCCUUCUCCCAGCGUGCUAUUGGGAAGCAGAGUGGUGACCGCUGUCAGAGAGCUGGGGACCGCAGUGACAAGGCCCAGAGGGAUUUUGUGAACUGCUUCUUCCCAUGGGGACUGGGAGGCAUGGGUGGGGAGAGGAUGGUGCAUCCGGGG
rnacentral:lncRNA from 1 species